AUGAACGCUGGCGGCGUGCUUAACCCAUGCAAGUCGAACGGAAAGGCCCAAGCUUGCUUGGGUACUCGAGUGGCGAACGGGUGAGUAACACGUGGGUGAUCUGCCCUGCACUUCGGGAUAAGCCUGGGAAACUGGGUCUAAUACCGGAUAGGACCACUUCUUGGAUGUUGUGGUGGAAAGUUUUCUCGGUGUGGGAUGAGCUCGCGGCCUAUCAGCUUGUUGGUGGGGUAAUGGCCUACCAAGGCGUCGACGGGUAGCCGGCCUGAGAGGGUGUACGGCCACAUUGGGACUGAGAUACGGCCCAGACUCCUACGGGGGGCAGCAGUGGGGAAUAUUGCACAAUGGGCGCAAGCCUGAUGCAGCGACGCCGCGUGGGGGAUGACGGCCUUCGGGUUGUAAACUCCUUUCGCUAGGGACGAAGCGUUUUUGUGACGGUACCUGGAGAAGAAGCACCGGCUAACUACGUG
rnacentral:rRNA from 1 species